rnacentral:rRNA from 1 species
AUGCACAAGUCCCAACAAGCCCUACUUCACGCCAAGUCCAAACUUCAUGAGCACAAGAGAAGACCGCGAGACGAGCACCACCAAGAUGGCGCUAAGGCUACCACCACCACAACUUUGGCAUCUUCGCCAAGUGCUAUCAAGGCAUCUUCGCCUUUGGACAUACGACAUCUUCGCCUACUUCCCGUGAGUUUGCCAACAUCGACAUCAUCAAGUACAAGGCGACCAACUACGAGCGAGGGCGACACUUCCAUCUUCGGAAGCCCCCCAAGGAAGAUGGCCAAGCAUGGGACAUUCCCUUCGGUCAUAAAGACGAGCUACGAGGUGCCACAUCAUAUGGGCCUGCAACAACAAGGCGGUGACAAGAAGGUCGAUCUAGGGCCAUCCCCUUCGACCACGGCGACGAGCAUGAACCUCUUCAACCACUUGAAGACAUCGCUCAUAUUGCACUCAUACUCUGAGUCAAGCUACGAGACCGCACAAGAGAUCUUUUCUUUGGUCUUAGAGGAGAGUGAUGAUGUGCCAUCUUCGGCCUUCAUCCACGGCUACAACCACGACAUGAUUGAGCAUGGAGACAUUUGCACCAACAUCUCUCCAACACGCACAUAUAAAGAGAUGCCACAAUUCCCAUGUGAGGAGAGCCACCCCACCAUGAGUGACAUGAGUGACUCCACCAUAUGUGACAUUGAGUGCAUUUCCUAUGAGAGUAUGAGUGUGACCACCACUAGCCCCACACUUGAGAGCAUGCCACACAUCCUAUGUGAGGUUGAGAGCCAUUUGAGUGACUCCACCAACCAUAUGAGUGAGAGCAUCCAAGAGGGAGUGAGUGAGCCACCACACUUAGUGAGUGAGGUACUUGACACGGCAUGUGAGGCCACUAUGCUAUCUAACAACUUAACCUGUACUCCGAGUGUGUUUUCUUUGGUGCUAGGUCUCCUACAUGAUGACAUGCCUAUCCUCGACAAGUCCAUGCCUCCAAUGGAGACAACGAUGGCCAUGGUGGAAGAAGAUGCACCCCCCACAUGGUUCCAUCAAGAUGAAGAUGACCACGACUUGGUCUUCGACACCUCACCUACGACACAUGAGCGAUGCUCCAAAGGUAACAUAGGUGAUGGUGCUCCUCUUGUCCCACUAGUGGACUAUCUCAUGAAUGAUUGCUUGCAUGAUGUUGACACACCUAUUCCCAUGCUUCAUGCUAGUGCGACUUCUUCAUGUCAUGACUUACCUAUUUAUGAUGAAUAUGAUGACGAGCAUGUCGAGUUGCCUAGUUGUGAUGCUAUGCUCCAUAGGAUAUCAUGUAAAAAUUCUAUUGGUCACAUCGUGUUUGACAAUCCAUGA